rnacentral:rRNA from 1 species
UUGAUCUGAAAUCAGGCGGGAUUACCCGCUG